CCAAGUUAAACAGCAGAUGGCACAGGACGUCCCGCGGCCGGCGGGGAGCUGACACUGAGUCUGCUGACAGAAUCCUGCUGAGAUGGUCUUCAUGUGUGACACGGAGGAAACCAGCAGCCCCACCUGCAGAUUUUGUCACCUCCUCUGUGGUCACAUGUUGCUCUCUGCUGUGAAGGGAUGCAGCAGCAGCCACGUGAUCAGCACAGCCUUCAGUGAGUGAGCAACCAGGAAGUGAUCCGGGCCAAUGAAAGAGCAGGAGUCAGACAAUUUAACAUGUAAAACAAGCAGAAUAAAAACUAAUGAUGC